rnacentral:rRNA from 1 species
UACGGGGGGGGCAAGCGUUGUUCGGAAUUACUGGGCGUAAAGGGCGCGUAGGCGGGAUGGCAAGUCGGUCGUGAAAUCCCUCGGCUCAACUGAGGAUCGUCGAUCGAUACUGCUGUUCUUGAGGAUUGCAGAGGAGACUGGAAUUCCCGGUGUAGCGGUGAAAUGUGUAGAGAUCGGGAGGAACACCGGUGGCGAAGGCGGGUCUCUGGGCAAUUCCUGACGCUGAGGCGCGAAAGCGUGGGGAGCAAACGGG